GGGGAGGCGAAAGGGGUGGUGCGGAGCCAGAAAAGCCCGAGCCCACAGCCGCCAGCCCUGCGCAGGGAUGGGCAGCGCACUCUGAAAGUUCGUGACCGCAGCAGCCAACUGUUGGCCGGAGCCUGGGACGCAGACAGUGAUCCGCCCAACUUGAAAGCGGUGCCCAGCCCCAGUACCCUUUCUCGGCCUCAGGCGGCCCUCCUCCAGGCAAGGUGCUCCGGUGCCUGAUGGGGUUCAUGGAGCCCGGGCUGUGGCUCCUUUUCGGGCUCACAGUGACCUCAGCCACAGGUAAGCAGGCGGGGCUGCGCGCCUCUCCUGGCGCGAGCGCACACAAUAGGAGCAGGGCGGGGGUGGGGGGUGGGGGAGUAGGGGGUUCUGUGUUGCAGAGAGCUAACUGCAUCCCUGGAGGUGAUUGGGAGCAAGCAGGCUGGAGGGCAGAAGCGGCAAGCAAGGACUACUCCACAGGCUCCGGAGAAUUAGUCAAUUUUUCAUGAAGUUGGGAACUUUUCAGAAAGUUUGCAAACUAAUCAGACACUGUACAAAACGUUUGCAAAGUUUUCAGAAAGUGUAAAAUGCGUGCAAGUUUUCAACCAGUGCAAAUAGCUUGCAGAUUUUGCAGAGUGAAAAUAGCUUGCAAGUUUUUCAUUAUGCACUAACUUGCAAACUUUUCAGGAACUGUGCACAUAGCUUUGCAAACUUUCAGAACUUUUCGUGUAGCUUGGAGACGAGAGAAAGUGCAACUAACAUCUGUACCUGUAGCUCAGGAGCCCCUCAAUCUGCCUCCUGCAGGAUUCACUCCUUGCCUUCAGCCUGGGGGCUCUGGCAGGACUGGUGUGCCCCAGCUGCCCCCUGCAACCAGAUCUGAGGGUGACUGUGAAGAGACUGUGGCUGACCCUGGUGAAGGGACAAAUCCUGGAAGUCCUGGGCAGAAGCAGGGGCCCGGUUGGUCUGGAGAACAGGCAGAGGGUGGCCCUGUGCACCACCGCCCCCGGCGCUGCACGUGCUUCACCUACAAGGACAAGGAGUGUGUCUACUAUUGCCACCUGGA
rnacentral:lncRNA from 1 species